rnacentral:rRNA from 1 species
ACCAGCAGCCAUAUCACCAUGCAACUCACAACUGGCAACCCACGGAAGCUAAGCAGGUGUGAGCCUGGUCAGUACCUGGAUGGGAGACCUCCUGGGAAGCUGCUGGAAGAGGUGUUAGUG